rnacentral:tRNA from 1 species
GCGAAAGUGGCGGAAUUGGUAGACGCCCUGGAUUUAGGUUCCAGUACCUUACGGUGUGGGGGUUCGAGUCCCCCCUUUCGCACCA